rnacentral:misc_RNA from 1 species
GGGAGAUGCACUAUUCAGGGCUGGAUAUUGAAGUAAAAAGAUCUGAAAUGGAGGACCAUCAGGUGACCAAAAAUGAAAGAAACAGACCAAGAACAGCAACGGCUACCAACUCUGCCAGUGCCGCAGCCAGAUCAAGAACAUGGCAACCCUCGCUUCAAAGCAUCUCAGAGGCUGGCAGCUAAUCAUGUUUCCAUCUUCCCGCCAUGCUUACAUGAGGAACGGAUCAGCUCACCUGCACACAAAUCCAGACCUUUAUUUUGAACCUGCCAAAUUUAAUAUGCACAGAUCUUCCAUGUCACUACCUUUAUGGCAGAGGGAACUCAAUCUGGUCCUUUAUUUGUGUAUUUCGGUAAUUCAAAGUUGUAUAGCAAAAGGGUUCUCUCUGCCAUAAAGGUAGUGACA